rnacentral:sRNA from 1 species
UCGUCUAUUUGUUGUGGGCAGAUAAAAUGAAUAUGGGCGUCUAUGCCACCAGCCGUGAGUAUUUGACCUUCGCCGGCAAUGAUUUCAGUACCUGGGCCAAUUUCGAUAUCAAUGUUGUCUUGGAUAUCAGGGUUACCUGCUUUGCCUAUUAUGGCUAUGCGGCCAUCUUUGAUGCCUACAUCGGCUUUCACUAUGCCCCAGUGAUCAACAAUCAAAGCGUUGGUGAUAACUAAAUCUGGCGUUUCUUUGCAUGAGGCUUGGCUUUGACCCAUACCAUCACGA